AUACGAUAGAGAUGUUCCUGGUGCUAGCAGAAAUAUCUAUGGAGGGAUAAUUUUAGGUCGGCGUUUGUAUUACAGGCUUACAGCUAAAGGGGAGGGGGAUGACUGAUAAGUUGGUGGAUAUUUCGGCUUCUGGUGAUCGGCUACCACUGGUCCAUUGCCAAGGUCCAAGGAUAUCCGGCUAUUGGGUUGCUGUUUGGGCUUGCAAGGUGAUAGAGAGCCGACCCAUGUAUUGACGAGGGUGAGUAUAACUACGGUCGUCCCAAUUUGAGCCGUUCAAACUCCUGCAACUUUUAAACUCAACCAUUUAAACUCCUUAUCUACGGUUACAAGACGAUUCCAGCAAUCGGUUAAUCGGAGGUUCAUCGUCUUUCAGCACGCUUCCUUCUUCUUCUCCCCCACGUUCACAGUCGGUUUAUCGAUCCUUCCAACAAUGUUUUAAUUAUGGCACUUCUCCUUCAACCAACCACGAUAAGGAGGUUGCUUCCUUCUUAAUCGGUAACUGACCUAACCACAAUAGAGAAAAAUGUCGUAUAUAAUGAUCGGAAGAUGUUCAAUGUUUCUACGUUUCAAACAAUCGGUUGAAUUGUUUCAUUUGAUGUCAACAGUUAUGGAAGAUGAUAUUAUAUCACCAUAAUUUGUGUGUGGUAAUGGAAGAUGAUAUCGAAAGGAUAUGCCCAAUAAUGCCUUACGCUUCCAUUCAUGAAUUCAGAUGGACUUCAACGGCAGGACAAAUUAGGUGACUUACAUGGGAAAGUGGUAUUCAAGGCUUCGAGUUGUGGCUUGGAUUGGAAAAGAGAAAGCAUUUUCCUUCACUAGGGAGCGUAGAUUCAAAGCUCAAACAAUUUGUUUGUCCAUUCCAUUCAAAUCAAUCCAUGGGGUCAGCUUUCAAGGUGUGAGAACAUUAUCGUGCACUGAAGAGUAUUGUAGCAGAGAAAUCCUGGCAAACCCUAAAGAUGGUAAGUCUUUUUCAAUAAUGUAUGUUGAUUUGAUAUGGGAGACACAAAAGGAUGGAAUUCGUACAGAUGGUUACUUUGAUCGCUAAACAUCUUCACAACAAUUGAAAAAAUUUACCUUCCUUUUAUGGAUCGAAUUUUGGUUGUUAAACUAAUUUUUGUUCAUUCGAUCAUCACACGGUUAUGUAAUUGCUUCAUAUGAUCGGUUUCUUUGGGAUGCUAAUGAAGAAGAUAUGGAAGAAGAUGCUAAUAUGAAUUUAUUAUCACCAAGUAUCUUCUAGGAAGGCUCACAGCGAUUUCCAAUAAGAAUGUAUCAUCACUAAGUAUUUUCCUAAAUCAUAACUUUAAUAAGAGAGAUCUUAAUUAGUAACUUUGGAACUAAGUCAUACAAAUCUGUAACAGGUGAGAAGAUUAUGAUUUAUUUGUGUAUUGCUGCAAGAAGGAUAGGGACUUCAUAAACAAGGAUAUUGGUUUGAGUUUAAUUCUUCAAUUCGUUGGAUUCUUAGUUGCUAAGUGGUGUUCUUUUGGAAAUUGGAAUUUAAGUUAUGCUACUAUAUUAGCGAAGGGAUUGGCAAAAAGAUCAAUUGAUUACUUUUAUCUUUGGUUGAUAAUGGGUACUACUCUAAUAAAUACUAUAAAGGGAAAUUUGAAUGUUUGGAGCUUAA